CCAUGAUGUAACAUCUGAUAAGGACUAAUAUAAGGGCUAGAGGAAUGAAGAUAAGCAGCUCUGCCUUGUUCACUCCCGCUGAUUUCAUGGAUUCAGCUCUGUGUCCUUUCUUUAUUGGCAGGAGGAGCCUUAUAUAGCGUGAUUUAUGCCAAGUUCAGUGGAGAGGGUGCCCACCUGCAAGGACACUUGAGAAAGCACUUUGAGUCUGUGUGAUGCGCAGAAGGUGAUGGCUGACAGCCCGUCUUGACAAGCAGCUACAGAAGACAGCAGGAGGAUGUGAGCAUAUUAAAGACUAAGGAGUGAGCAGACCACAAGGAAGGUGAUGGACAUCUAAUUUUUCCUAAUACCUCCCAGUAACACUUGCCCUUGGAUUUACAGUUCUUUCUUUUGUUUCUAAAGCAAGUAAGUCUGAAAGAAAAUAAUAAUAAUUAAAAUUAACUUUAUAGGAGUUUAUUUG
rnacentral:lncRNA from 1 species